UACAGAGGUCCCAAGCGUUGUUCGGAUUCACUGGGCGUAAAGGGUGCGUAGGUGGUGGGGUAAGUCUCGUGUGAAAGCUCGCGGCUCAACCGCGAAAUGUCACGGGAUACUAUCCGGCUGGAGGGUUGGAGGGGGGACUGGAAUUCUCGGUGUAGCAGUGAAAUGCGUAGAUAUCGAGAGGAACACCAGUGGCGAAGGCGAGUCCCUGGACAACACCUGACACUGAGGCACGAAAGCUAGGGGAGCAAACAGG
rnacentral:rRNA from 1 species